GUCGUCGUGGCCGAGUGGUUAAGGCGACAGACUUGAAAUCUGUUGGGCUCUGCCCGCACAGGUCUCGAAUCCUGUCGGCGACG
rfam:Ciona savignyi cont_62207, whole genome shotgun sequence.